CCUACGGGUGGCAGCAGUGAGGAAUAUUGGUCAAUGGACGCAAGUCUGAACCAGCCAUGCCGCGUGCAGGAAGACGGCUCUAUGAGUUGUAAACUGCUUUUGUACGAGGGUAAACGCAGAUACGCGUAUCUGUCUGAAAGUAUCGUACGAAUAAGGAUCGGCCAAAUCGGUGCCAGCAGCAGCGGUAAUACGGAGGAUUCAAGCGUAAUCCGGAUUGAUUGGGGGUAAAGGGUGCGUAGGCGGUCGGGAAAGUUAGAGGUGAAAUCCCGAGGCUCAACUUUGGAAUUGCCUCUGAUACUGUUCGGCUAGAGUAUAGUAGCGGUAGGCGGAAUGUAUGGUGUAGCGGUGAAAUGCUUAGAGAUCAUACAGAACACCGAUUGCGAAGGCAGCUUACCAGGCUACUUCUGACGUUGAGGCACGAAAGCGUGGGGAGCAAACAGGAUUAGAUACCCGAGUAGUC
rnacentral:rRNA from 1 species